CCUACGGGUGGCAGCAGUGAGGAAUAUUGGUCAAUGGGCGAGAGCCUGAACCAGCCAAGUCGCGUGAAGGAUGACUGCCCUACGGGUUGUAAACUUCUUUUAUAAAGGAAUAAAGUGAGGCAUGUGUGCCCUUUUGUAUGUAUUUUAUGAAUAAGGAUCGGCUAACUCCGUGCCAGCAGCCGCGGUAAUACGGAGGAUCCGAGCGUUAUCCGGAUUUAUUGGGGUUAAAGGGAGCGUAGAUGGGUUGUUAAGUCAGUUGUGAAAGUUUGCGGCUCAACCGUAAAAUUGCAAUUGAUACUGGCAGCCUUGAGUACAGUUGAGGUAGGCGGAAUUCGUGGUGUAGCGGUGAAAUGCUUAGAUAUCACGAAGAACACAGAUUGCGAAGGCAGCCUACUAAACUGCAACUGACGUUGAUGCUCGAAAGUGUGGGUAUCAAACAGGAUUAGAUACCCGGGUAGUC
rnacentral:rRNA from 1 species